GUGGGUGGAGACAUGGACUCGGUGGCAGUUCAAGAAUUUAGCCGCACCCUCUUCAACAUGAGGCCAGACAUAGCCCUAAGUGUAGCACAAAACAUAUUCCAAAGUGACAUGAGACAAAUUUUACAUUUGGUCACUGUGCCUUGUCGCAUCUUGCAAAGCAUGAAGGACUUGGCUGUACCAGUGGUUGUGUCUGAAUACUUGCAUCAACACAUCAGCGGUGAGUCGAUCGUUGAAGUCAUGCCAUCAGAUGGUCAUUUGCCUCAACUGAGCUCGCCGGACGUUGUGAUUCCAGUGCUUCUUAGGCAUAUUCGUUCUGAUAUUGCUGCCUAAUUAAAAUCUUUUAUAUAUAUGUACUCUUCAUGUCUUUGUUAUAAUGGAUUUUUGUGUUUGCUUCGGUUUUUAAUUUCCUGUUGAUGGAACUACUUUGAUCGUUAAUUAGUUUCCUGGAAAGGAAGUUGGCAAAUGGAUAUGCCUUGAUCGUAAGGUCCCCUGUAUUU
rnacentral:misc_RNA from 1 species